AAAAAAAAACUGGUUUCACUUUCAAACAGAUGUAAUUUACCUUAAAUAAUUGUAUCUCAAUCUCUAAAUUGAACUUUAAUCACAUUCAGGAGGCUCUUGCAGGGUCUAGCAAGCUAUUAACAUAGCAGGGGAUAAGAAAAUCUUAAUUAAACAGAACUUGCAAUAAAGAAAGCCUAAAUAGGGCUCUCUUUACAGGAAGUGUUUAUGGAAGGCUGUGCAAGUCACAUGCAGGGAGGUGUGACUAGGGUUCAUAAACAAAGGGAUUUAACUCCUAAAUGGCAGAGGACUGAGCAGUGAGGCUGCAGGGGCAUGUUCUAUACACCAAAACUGCUUCAUUAAGCUAAAGUUGUUCAGGUGACUAUAGUGUCC
rnacentral:lncRNA from 1 species